rnacentral:rRNA from 1 species
AGAUUGAACGCUGGCGGCAUGCCUUACACAUGCAAGUCGAACGGCAGCACGGGAGCAAUCCUGGUGGCGAGUGGCGAACGGGUGAGUAAUACAUCGGAACGUGCCCAAUCGUGGGGGAUAACGCAGCGAAAGCUGUGCUAAUACCGCAUAAGAUCUACGGAUGAAAGCAGGGGAUCGCAAGACCUUGCGCGAAUGGAGCGGCCGAUGGCAGAUUAGGUAGUUGGUGAGGUAAAGGCUCACCAAGCCUUCGAUCUGUAGCUGGUCUGAGAGGACGACCAGCCACACUGGACUGAGACACGGCCCAGACUCCGUA